CUUGGUUUAUAAGUAUUUAUCAAAGUGUGAAGCCUCUUCAACUAUUGGCUUAUGAACUCAUUCCAAUGAAGCUACUGCUGUCAUCGUUUCAUUGAUUCUGACGUUUCCAAGAUCACCAGAGUCUAUGUUGCCAAGGUUAGUCUUCAUGUUGCAUGCUCUAUUAGCCACAUUGAACGUAGUUUAUUUGCAUUUCAGGAUGAUGCCCUUUCCUGAUUUUAUCUUUGUUCACUGGGCACCACUUCUCAGUCUCCUUUGCUAGUUCUCUCUUGUCUCUAA
rnacentral:lncRNA from 1 species